GGAAGUAAAAGUCGUAACAAGGUCUCCGUUGGUGAACCAGCGGAGGGAUCAUUACAGAGUUGCAAGACUCCCUAAACCAUUGUGAACGUUACCUAAACCGUUGCUUCGGCGGGCGGCGCCAGGGCCCCCACGGGCCCGCCAGCGCGCCCCCCGGCCCCCCUCGCGGGGGCGCCCGCCGGAGGCUCCAAACCAUUCUCGCAUGCACAAGGCCUCUCUGAGUCUUCUGUACUGAAUGAGUCAAAACUUUCAACAACGGAUCUCUUGGUUCUGGCAUCGAUGAAGAACGCAGCGAAAUGCGAUAAGUAAUGUGAAUUGCAGAAUUCCGUGAAUCAUCGAAUCUUUGAACGCACAUUGCGCCCGCCGGCAUUCCGGCGGGCAUGCCUGUCCGAGCGUCAUUUCGACCAUCAAGCCCCGGGCUUGUGUUGGGGACCUGCGGCUGCCCGCAGGCCCCGAAAACCAGUGGCGGGCUCGCUGUCACACCGAGCGUAGUAGCAUACAUCUCGCUCUGGGCGUGCUGCGGGUUCCGGCCGUUAAACCACCUUUUAACCCAAGGUUGACCUCGGAUCAGGUAGGAGGACCCGCUGAACUUAAGCAUAUCAAUAAGCGGAGGA
rnacentral:rRNA from 1 species